GGCUCAGUGGUGUAAUGAUAGCACUCGUGGUUUGGAUCUACGUAAUCCAGGUUUAAUUCCUGGCUGGGCCC
rnacentral:tRNA from 1 species